rnacentral:rRNA from 1 species
GACGAACGCUGGCGGCGCGCUUAACACAUGCAGGUCGAGCGAGAACCAGUCCUUCGGGACUGGGGACAGCGGCGAACGGGUGAGUAACACGUGGGUAAUCUGCCCUCGGCACCGGAAUAGCCCGGGGAAACCCGGAUUAAUGCCGGAUGGCCUCUCUGCCCCUCGGGGCGGCGAGAAAAGGUAGCUUCGGCCUCCGGCCGAGGAUGAGCCCGCGGCCGAUUAGCUUGUUGGUGGGGUAACGGCUCACCAAGGCGACGAUCGGUAGCUGGUCUGAGAGGACGAUCAGCCACACUGGGACUGAGACACGGCCCAGACUCCUACGGGAGGCAGCAGUGGGGAGUCCUGCGCAAUGGGCGAAAGCCUGACGCAGCGACGCCGCGUGCGGGAAGAAGGCCUUCGGGUUGUAAACCGCUUUCAGGAGGGACGAAGCCACUCGGGUUAAUAGCCUAGAAGGUGACGGUACCUCCAGAAGAAGCCCCGGCUAACUACGUGCCAGCCGCCGCAGUAACAC